AUAUGGUCAAGUAAGUAAGGGCCUACGAAGGAUGCCCUGGCAUCGACAGGCGAAGAAGGACGCGGGUUGCUGCGAAAAGCGUCGGGGAGCCGUAACCAGGCUUUGAUCCGGCGGUGUCCGAAUGGGGAAACCCGGCGGGAAGAAAUCCCGUCACCCGAGAGGGAGCAUACCGGGGGAAUUGAAACAUCUGAGUACCCCGAGGAAAAGAAAGAAACCUCGAUUCCGUCAGUAGCGGCGAGCGAAAGCGGAAGAGCCCAAACCUAUGUCUACGUUACAGGCGCAGGUCGCUGUAGCAUGGGGGUUAUAGGAUCUUUAUGGAGCUGCCUGUGAGGCUCCGAAGAGUUACAAAUGUUCUGUUUAGUCGAACGGUCUGGAAAGUCCGGCCAGAGCGGGUGAUAGCCCCGUAGGCGAAAAGCAGAACACUCUUAGAAGACACCUGAGUACGAUCCGGCACGUGAAACCGGGUUGGAAUUUGCGGGGACCACCCCGUAAGGCUAAAUAUACGUCGAUGACCGAUAGUGGACGAGUACCGUGAGGGAAAGGUGAAAAGAACCCUGAGAAGGGAGUGAAAUAGAACCUGAAAUCGUAGGUCUACAAGGUGUGGUAGCACUGCAUAUGUGCAACUGCAUUCCUUUUGCAGAAUGAGCCGGCGAGUUACUCUGUGUUGCAAGGUUAAGGGAGGGAAUCCCGGAGCCGGAGCGAAAGCGAGUCUGAACAGGGCGUUCAGUAGCACGGAGUAGACCCGAAGCCAGUCGAUCUACCCAUGGCCAGGUUGAAGGUGGGGUAAAACCCACUGGAGGACCGAACUCAUUAGCGUUGAAAAGCUACGGGAUGAGCUGUGGGUAGGGGUGAAAGGCCAAUCAAGGCUGGCGAUAGCUGGUUCUCCCCGAAAUAGCUUUAGGGCUAGCGUCGAUCGUUCAAUCAUGGGGGUAGAGCACUGAAAGGGAUCAGGGGACCUACCAGUCUGCCAAACCCUAUCAAACUUCGAAUACCAUGAUUCCAGAGGUCGGCAGUCAGAACGCGAGGGAUAAGCUUCGCGCUCAAAAGGGAAAGAGCCCGGACCGUCGUUUAAGGCCCCAAAGUACACGCUGAGUGGCAAAGGAGGUGGGGAUACACAGACAACCAGGAUGUUGGCUUAGAAGCAGCCACCAUUUAAAGAGUGCGUAAUAGCUCACUGGUCAAGUGUUCCUGCGCCGAAAAUGUAACGGGACUAAGCGUGACGCCGAAGGCACGGACUCCGUAAGGAGUGGUAGGGGAGCGCUGUAUUCAGCAUUGAAGGCGGAUCGUAAGAGCCGCUGGAGCGCUUACAGGUGAGAAUGCCGGCAUGAGUAGCGAAAAAGGGGGUGAGAUUCCCCCUCGCCGAUAGCCCAAGGAUUCCCCGGCAAGGCCAAUCCGCCGGGGGUGAGUCGGCCCCUAAGGCAAAGCCAGGAGGCGUAGCCGAUGGGAAACAGGUUUAUAUUCCUGUACCGCCGUUCGGUUGUUUGAGCGAUGUGGUGACCCGGGAGGGUAGUCAAUCGGGGUGUUGGUUUACCCCGUGUCUGGUUGUAGGCUAUGAGACGUGCAGGCAAAUCCGCACGUUGAGCGGAGGACUGGACCGAGUGAUUCUACGGAUGAAUGAAGUUGAUGACCCCAGACCGGCGAGAAAAACCUCUAAGUGAGACCGAGCGGCGACCGUACCGCAAACGGACACACGUGGGCUGGGUGAGAAACCCGAGGCGCUCGAGAGAAUGCUUGCUAAGGAACUCGGCAAAAUGGCCCCGUAACUUCGGGAGAAGGGGCGCCCCGUUAGGAUGAAGGACCUGCGUCUGGAGUCUGAGGGGGCCGCAGUGAAAAGGGGGUGGCGACUGUUUAACAAAAACACAGGUCUCUGCAAACACGCAAGUGGACGUAUAGGGACUGACACCUGCCCGGUGCCGGAAGGUUAAGGGGACUGGUUAGCCGCAAGGCGAAGCUCGGAACCGAAGCCCCGGUAAACGGCGGCCGUAACUAUGACGGUCCUAAGGUAGCGAAAUUCCUUGUCGGGUAAGUUCCGACCCGCACGAAUGGUGUAACGACCUCCCCGCUGUCUCAGCAGGCAGCUCGGCGAAAUUCUAGUUCCCGUGAAGAUGCGGGAUACCAGCAGCUGGACGGAAAGACCCCGUGAACCUUUACUGUAACCUGGCAUUGAAUUCUGAUCUGGUAUGUGCAGGAUAGGUGGGAGACUUUGAAGCGGAGGCGCCAGCCUCUGUGGAGUCACCCUUGAAAUACCACCCUUAUCGGGUUGGAAUUCUAACCGGUGCGAGAAACAUCGGGACAUUGUUAGGCGGGCAGUUUGACUGGGGCGGUCGCCUCCUAAAGAGUAACGGAGGCGCCCAAAGGUUCCCUCAGCACGGCCGGAAAUCGUGCGUAGAGUGUAAAGGCACAAGGGAGCCUGACUGUGAGAGGGACAUCUCGAGCAGGGACGAAAGUCGGGCUUAGUGAUCCGGUGGUUCUGUGUGGAAGGGCCAUCGCUCAACGGAUAAAAGGUACUCCGGGGAUAACAGGCUUAUCGCGCCCAAGAGUUCAUAUCGACGGCGCGGUUUGGCACCUCGAUGUCGGCUCGUCGCAUCCUGGGGCUGGAGCAGGUCCCAAGGGUUUGGCUGUUCGCCAAUUAAAGCGGCACGCGAGCUGGGUUCAGAACGUCGUGAGACAGUUCGGUCCCUAUCCGCUGCUGGCGUUGGAGAUUUGAGGGUAUCUGUCCUUAGUACGAGAGGACCGGGAUGGACGAACCUCCGGUGCACCGGUUGUCGCGCCAGCGGCAUAGCCGGGUAGCCAUGUUCGGUGUGGAUAACCGCUGAAAGCAUCUAAGCGGGAAGCCCUACCCAAGAUUAGAUCUCCCUGGCCGCAAGGCCCUGAAGACACCUCGAAGACUACGAGGUUGAUAGGCUGCAGAUGUAAGUGUGGUAACACGCUCAGUCGAGCAGUACUAAUAUGUCGUGAGGCUUGACCAUAUUACUCUG
rnacentral:rRNA from 1 species